rnacentral:rRNA from 1 species
GAUGAACGCUGGCGGCGUGCCUAAUACAUGCAAGUCGAGCGAACGGACGAGAAGCUUGCUUCUCUGAUGUUAGCGGCGGACGGGUGAGUAACACGUGGAUAACCUACCUAUAAGACUGGGAUAACUUCGGGAAACCGGAGCUAAUACCGGAUAAUAUUUUGAACCGCAUGGUUCAAAAGUGAAAGACGGUCUUGCUGUCACUUAUAGAUGGAUCCGCGCUGCAUUAGCUAGUUGGUAAGGUAACGGCUUACCAAGGCAACGAUGCAUAGCCGACCUGAGAGGGUGAUCGGCCACACUGGAACUGAGACACGGUCCAGACUCCUACGGGAGGCAGCAGUAGGGAAUCUUCCGCAAAGGGCGAAAGCCUGACGGAGCAACGCCGCGUGAGUGAUGAAGGUCUUCGGAUCGUAAAACUCUGUUAUUAGGGAAGAACAUAUGUGUAAGUAACUGUGCACAUCUGGACGGUACCUAAUCAGAAAGCCACGGCUAACUACGUG